GAUGAACGCUGGCGGCGUGCCUAAUACAUGCAAGUCGAGCGAAUCGGGGACGGGUGAGUAACACGUGGAUAACCUCCUAUAAGACUGGGAUAACUUCGGGAAACCGGAGCUAAACCGGAUACUUAUCGAUGGAUCCGCGCUGCAUUAGCUAGUUGGUAAGGUAACGGCUUACCAAGGCAACGAUGCAUAGCCGACCUGAGAGGGUGAUCGCCAACACUGGAAAGGAGACACGGUCCAAACUCCAAGGGGAGGAAACAGUAGGGAAUCUGCCGCAAUGGGCGAAAGCCGGACGGAGCAACGCAGCGUGAGUGAUGAAGGUCGUCGGAUCGUAAAACUCUGUAAUUAGGGAAGCGGUACCUAAAAAGAAAGCCACGGCUAACUACGUGCCAGCAGCCGCGGUAAUUC
rnacentral:rRNA from 1 species